GACGAACGCUGGCGGCGUGCUUAACACAUGCAAGUCGAACGAUGAAGCUGGAGCUUGCUCCGGUGGAUUAGUGGCGAACGGGUGAGUAACACGUGAGCAAUCUGCCCUUGACUCUGGGAUAACUGCGGGAAACUGUAGCUAAUACCGGAUACUUUCACUGGAAGGCAUCUUCUGGUGAAGAAAGAAUUUCGGUCAAGGAUGAGCUCGCGGCCUAUCAGCUUGUUGGUGAGGUAACGGCUCACCAAGGGGACGACGGGUAGCCGGCCUGAGAGGGCGUGCGGCCACACUGUGACUGAGACACGGCCCAGACUCCUACGGGAGGCAGCAGUGGGGAAUAUUGCACAAUGGGCGCAAGCCAGAUGCAGCAACGCCGCGUGAGGGAUGAAGGCCUUCGGGUUGUAAACCUCUUUUAGCAGGGAAGAAGCGAAAGUGACGGUACCUGCAGAAAAAGCACCGGCUAACUACGUGCCAGCAGCCGCCGUAA
rnacentral:rRNA from 1 species